CUCGCAAGAGAACCGGAACACAGUGCUGCAUGGCUGUCGUCAGCUCGUGUCGUGAGAUGUUGGGUUAAGUCCCGCAACGAGCGCAACCCUUGUCAUUAGUUGCUACGAAAGGGCACUCUAAUGAGACUGCCGGUGACAAACCGGAGGAAGGUGGGGAUGACGUCAAGUCCUCAUGGCCCUUAUGGGUAGGGCUUCACACGUCAUACAAUGGUCGGGACAGAGGGUCGCCAACCCGCGAGGGGGAGCCAAUCCCAGAAACCCGAUCGUAGUCCGGAUUGCAGGCUGCAACUCGCCUGCAUGAAGUCGGAAUCGCUAGUAAUCGCGGAUCAGCAUGUCGCGGUGAAUACGUUCCCGGGUCUU
rnacentral:rRNA from 1 species